CCAAGUUAUCAAAGCCAUCGACAUCUCCAUUGCUGUGAUUCUCCUCCGAGCUAGCUGAAUCACCUCGCCUAUUAUUAUUAUUAUUAUUAUUGUUAUUAUGAGUG